CAGUGGGGAAUUUUGGACAAUGGGCGCAAGCCUGAUCCAGCCAUGCCGCGUGUGGGAAGAAGGCCUUCGGGUUGUAAACCACUUUUGUCAGGGAAGAAACGGCUCUUACUAAUAUUAGGAGCUAAUGACGGUACCUGAAGAAUAAGCACCGGCUAACUACGUGCCAGCAGCCGCGGUAAUACGUAGGGUGCAAGCGUUAAUCGGAAUUACUGGGCGUAAAGCGUGCGCAGGCGGCUUUGCAAGACAGAUGUGAAAUCCCCGGGCUCAACCUGGGAACUGCAUUUGUGACUGCAUGGCUAGAGUACGGUAGAGGGGGAUGGAAUUCCGCGUGUAGCAGUGAAAUGCGUAGAUAUGCGGAGGAACACCGAUGGCGAAGGCAAUCCCCUGGACCUGUACUGACGCUCAUGCACGAAAGCGUGGGGAGCAAACAGGAUUAGA
rnacentral:rRNA from 1 species